UGAUUCUUUUUACUGAAGCCCUCCUAAAUCUCUCACAGCAAGAAGGAUGUGAUCUGUUAAUCAGGGAGCCCUCAUUACAUGCAGCUGUGGAAUACCCAUUUUUUCCUUUAUCUAAUCCACUGGAGAAUUCAGGUAGCUUGACGUAAUCAAGGUCAGAGGUGUUGAAAACAAAUAGAUUGGCUUAUUGAACUUGAUUAAUCAUUUUCUUGUAGCCAGCUUUACCUUCUCUUUGCUGAAAUAAGAUUAGCACAGAUUAAAGCUGUUUAUUUUGGAGGGGGAGAAGAUGGCAGUCUGGCCCAAUUCCAGAAGAGGGUGAAUGUUAGGUGAGAACUGGAUGAGGAGUUUUGUGCUUAUAGCAUAUUGAUUUCAGCAGAGAGUUCUGCUUAAAACCUGGUGGCACAAUAUAGGUAACUGUAUUCCUCGGAAGGCAGGUGUAGGCAUUUAUAUGCCCACUGCCAGUCUUUCAGCUUCAGAGAAGCUUUGGAGGAGGAAAUUGAUGGGCUUUCCAGGUGUGUUCUCACAUGAAAGGUGAACUUGCUGAGUACAGUUACUAAUCCACUGUGUUGAGAUGUUGGAAAGUUACCUUGUCCUCACCUAUAAAAUUUCUUUCAUCCCUCCAGAAUCCUUGGGGCUUCAAAACUAGGUACAGGAUCAUAACUUAAAUGGAUGCUAUGAAAUUGUGGUGGCUCAUCAAAGCUUUACCUAAGAAGGCUCAUAGCUGUAACACUGUACAAGUACAAAGGUCUGUUCCUCUGUUUCCUAAUGUGUGCUGGAAAACAUCUCUAACCCCAUCAGUAGCCCUUGUAUUUCAGUGGGACUUCUUUGAAAAGUAAGGGUUAUUCACUUUAUCUGAAAGAUAAUAUGAUCAAUCUAAAUGGUAGUUGCAAUCCCAAAGAACAGCCAGGAGCACAGCAAGCAGUUGAUUGUAUUUAGCAGAGCUCUCCAGGUCUCUUGAGGAGAGCUAAACUGCUCUCUAGCAGGUGAAUCAGAAUGCUAGGAAGUGGUAAGUAUCUGAAAGUUAUGUUCCCCUAACCAAACUCUGACUGGCAAGCUGGGUUUAAUACUUCUAAUAUUAAUAGCAAAAAUGCAGCAACCUACUGAUUAGCUCUUAGACACAAACCAGAUACCAGAGAUCCGGUGUAUGAAAUUUCAACCGCUGAGGCUAUUGGACCAUUCUUUUUGCUCUUUCAAAUAACCUUGCCUCUCAUAAACCUGUUGCUCAUUUAAACCAAACUUUCACCUUGUGUCAGAAAUUAUUUCCAGCAUUGGAUAUGAAACAUUCUGCAAUACGUUAUGAGGGCUAGAUUCACUGCUUAAAUUAAGAAAGGCAUUUUGCUUCAAACAGAUCACUUAUUGCUACCUUCAUGCUGUAUAUGUAUUGUGAGGUUAUUGUCACAUUUCCUUCAGUUUUGAAAAUGUAAGUUGGAUUUUUCUCUUUCAGGUUGCCAUCUGGUGUAUUGCAAACAGUUUCAGAGAGUAAGAGGCCAUCUGUUAAUACUUUUUCAGGAAGCUUUUUAUAGAGCAGUGAAGUGGCAAAUCUCAAAAACACGUUGUAAUGACUUACAAGAUCUUGGUUCCAGUUGUUAUUAUUCAUAAGAGGACAUCCUGCAGGACAUCUGACAUGUGAAAGGCGUCUAGUUCAGACCUUCUGCUUUGAGUGCCAGCAACAUCAGGUUCAAUAUCUGGUGUAUUCCUAUGGCAGAAGGUUAGUUCCUCAUUCAGCUCCACAAGUACAGGGAUCUUCAACCCAGAUUUGAUGUGCUCACUCCACUGUAAAUGUUAACAGUAGAGAACACAGCUGACAAGUG
ensembl:lncRNA